GCACCCACAACCGUGGCGGCGGGGUGUAGGAAUAGCCGGCAGCGGAUGUUCUUCCCUGGACCCCUCGGUGGUGGGUGAGCCCGACGGGGAGCCGCGCCACCACUGAACGCCGAUUCGGGAUGGAAGCAUUCACUUACGCGCCAGCCGCCAGGCUGCAGAUGAAGACACUCCACCGAUGGAGAUGCUUUCGUUGAUGAUUGGCGAGUUGCUCUUGGAAGAGAAGUCAGAGUUCAGUGGGCAGACCUUCGGAGAGUACCUUCGAGCUGGUGUCCCUUCGAUCGCCCCCAUUUCCCAGCUUGGUUGCGGGCAGCUGGGCAUCAUUCGGUACCAGAUCACUUUGAGAUGGCGAGAAUAGCAGCACUCUACACGAUAAAUCUCUGGCUAGUUUACACCUAGGAAGGAUUCUGAAAGAUAUGGCUGAUGAUGCCAUCUAACUUGAGGCACGUGGUCUCUUU